CAGCCGCCGCGGUAAUACCGGCGGCCCGAGUGGCGGUCACUAUUAUUGGGCUUAAAGCGUCCGUAGCCGGGUUGGGAAGUCCUCCGGGAAAUCUGGCCGCUUAACGGUCAGAAUGCCGGAGGAUACUCCCAGCCUAGGGAGCGGGAGAGGCCGAGGGGAUUCCCGGAGUAGGGGGGAAAUCCUAUAAUCCCGGGAGGACCACCUGUGGCGAAGGCGCCCGGCUGGAACGCGUCCGACGGUGAGGGACGAAGGCCAGGGGAGCAAACCGGAUUAGAUACCCGGGUAGUCCUGGCUGUAAACGAUGCGGACUUUGUGUCGGACAAGCUAUGAGCUUGUCCGGUGCCGGAGGGAAACCGUUAAGUCCGCCGCCUGGGGAGUACGGCCGCAAGGCUGAAACUUAAAGGAAUUGGCGGG
rnacentral:rRNA from 1 species